ACAAUCUUGGAAGGAGGACAUUUAAACACAAGUUACACAGCAAGGCAGGAGUCAUCGUUGUCAUCUUUAUUUGAUGGAAGAGGAAACAAAAGCACAGAAAGGUGAAGCAUCUUUACCCAGAUCAUUCAGAGGAUCAGCAGUGGGGCCACUGCCGGCCACUGGGCAGCUGAUCAACAACAACCUUGGAAGGUAGACAGACUGGAAAGCA
rnacentral:lncRNA from 1 species